rnacentral:misc_RNA from 1 species
UACAGAGGUCUCGAGCGUUGUUCGGAUUCAUUGGGCGUAAAGGGUGCGUAGGUGGUUCUGUAAGUCGGAUGUGAAAUCCCGGGGCUCAACCCCUGACCUGCAUUCGAUACGGUCGAGCUAGAGUGUGGUAGGGGAGACUGGAAUUCCUGGUGUAGCGGUGGGAUGCGCAGAUAUCAGGAGGAACACCGAUGGCGAAGGCAGGUCUCUGGGCCAUUACUGACGCUGAGGCACGAAAGCGUGGGGAGCAAACAGG